GACGAACGCUGGCGGCGUGCUUAACACAUGCAAGUCGAACGGUGAACCUCUUCGGAGGGGAUCUGUGGCGAACGGGUGAGUAACACGUGGGCAGCCUGCCCCCGGCCUUGGGAUAACUCCAAGAAAUUGGGGCUAAUACCGGACUUUUACCGCUUCCCGCAUGGGUGGUGGUGAAGAGGGUUUCCGGCCGGGGCUGGGCUCGCGGCCCCUCUGCCUGUUGGUGGGGUAGUGGGCUACCAAGGCGACGACGGGUAGCCGGCCUGAGAGGGUGACCGGCCUCACUGGGACUGAGAGAGGGCCCAGAGUCCUACGGGGGGCAGCGGGGGGAAAUCUUGCGCAGUGGGCGGGAGCCGGAGGAGGCGACGCCGCGUUGGGGAUGCCGGCCUUUGGGUUGAAAACCGCUUUCGGCUGAGACGAAGCGGAAGUGACGGUACCUGCAGAAGAAGCACCGGCCAACUACGUG
rnacentral:rRNA from 1 species